ensembl:snRNA U6 U6 spliceosomal RNA
GUGCUCGCUUCGGCAGCACAUAUACUACAGAUUGGAACAAUACAGAGAAGAUUAGCAUGGUCCCUGCGUAAGGAUGACAUGCAAAUUCAUGAAGAGCUCCAUAUUAAA